AAUACAUUUCAAGAAUAUUGCUUAUUUAUAUCUCUGAAAACAACUAUUUUUAUUCUACUUAUCACAGUUUAAGAUAAAAUAUUAGGUUAUCCAAAGAUCCAGAUACAUCAAAAUGAAGACUUUAUUCCUUGUAUGUCUACUGCUUUCAGUUAUGUUUUUAGUCCAGACUAAAAAUGGAACACCACUAAAAUUACUUUUGAAUGAUUUUGAAGACUGCGAUGCAGAAUGUAAAAAAUUAGGAGCAAAAGCAGGAGUUUCCAACGGAAGAUGCAAGUGUUUUGACCUUCCACGCAAUGUCAAAACAAUAGAUGAAAUUUCUGAUAUCGAUUAAUUAAUUAGAUUACUGUAAUAUAAUUUAAAACUGUAAUAACAAAUGUUAAAAAAAUAAAAUUAAAAGACACAUUUUUAUGGUGUUUUUUUAAUUACUGUGAUUCGCCUCUAGUUGGAUAUGUGUACCAAGAAUCAAGGUUAAUCCUAAACCGGAUUUCACAUAAUUUGUUUCGUCAUUAAAAUACUUAUGACCACGUAAGCGUUACUUUUCAAAACACUCAAGUAACUUACGGAAUUUUGAGAAAAAUACAAAACAUCCGGUUAUUCAGCAAUGUUUUGGUUCCGUCAGGAAACAAAAACUUCGAAAUUCUUAGUUCUAUUUUGAAGGAAAACGUGGACAAUUAAUUCAAACAAUUUAUCAAAUUCAAAUAAUGCCCAUCCUCUCGCAGUUAUGGAUAAUUGUUCAUCUUUUCUCUAAAUUGACUUUAAUUAAGAAUUGUUAUUUUAUUAGAAUUAAUAGUAGAAAAAGUAUUACAAUUGCUAAAAAGAACAACAUUAACACUUAACACAAUUUACUAAUAAUACGAAACUGGCUGAAAUUGUUAAAAUGUAUUAGUUCUUUAGUAUAGUAUAUUAAUACAUAUGGCAUUUUAUCGUUUGUUGUUUAAACGUAAUUUUAUAUUUU